rnacentral:misc_RNA from 1 species
AACGGUCUAUACCUGCGGUACCUGCGGAAGGAUCAUUAUUGAAUGAACUUGGUUGGGCUGUUGCUGGCUCUUGGGGGGCAUGUGCACGCUCAGCGCCAAUUUCUUACCACCUGUGCACCCGUUGUAGACUAGGAAUUAACUCUUCGAGGUCGACUCGGCUUUUGGUAAUUGCAGUGUGUGCAAGCCUGCUUUUCACCUACAGUUCUUCCUGUCUAUGCUUUUUAUAUACUCCUAUUUGUA